rnacentral:lncRNA from 1 species
GAAUUGCAUUUCUCUGGUGAUUAGUGCAGUUCAGCACCUUUUCAGAUUCCUGUUGGCCAUUUGUAUGUCGUAUUUUGGGAAAUGUCUGUUCAAGUCCUUUGAUCAUUUUAAAACUCUGGUUAUUUGUUUUCUUCCUACUGAGUUGUUUGAGUUUCUUAUCUACACUUUAGAUCAUAACAACCCCUUCUCAGAUACAUGGUUUGCAAAUGUAUUCUCUCACUCUGUGGAGUCUCACUCUGUAGCCCAAGCUGGAGUGGCGUGAUCUCGACUCACUGCAACCUCCGCCUCCUGG